rnacentral:misc_RNA from 1 species
ACUCUCCUCCACCCUCUCUCUCUCUCUCUCUAUUGCUUUUUUCAUAUUAAAAAAAUAAUAAUAAUAACAAGAAGACGAACCCUCCCCUACGAUUUGCCCAUCAGAUCUUUUCAUCGUUCAUCCUACAGCAGGAGAGGAGCUAAGCCAACCACGCCCAGAGAAAUGGCACAGGAGACCAUCAUCGCCACAUGAACACUCUACUA